ensembl:snRNA U6 U6 spliceosomal RNA
GUGCUUGCUUAAGUAGCACAUACACUAAAAUUGGAAUGAUUAGCAUGGCCCCUGCACAAGGAUGACACACAAAUUAGUAAAGUGUUCCAUAUUUUU